AUAUAGGUGAUUGGAUUCUCAUUGUUCUUAUCGAGUUCAAUAGGAUCGUUAUUUUAGAUCAAAAAAUCAUAGUAUCUAUUCGAUUGAUGGAACUCUACGGAUCUCCUUAAUGGUGCAUCUACAAUAGGCUCAGGAUUUGAUCAAAUCAAAUCCUAUUCUGUAGGUUCACUAGAUUAUAUCGGUUCAUCUACCUAUCAAACUUUAUCAAGUUCAAUCUUAGAGGUAUCAGUUCCUUCACCAAGAAACUCUUUUUUUUAAAAGAUUAUCUUAAGGCU
rnacentral:lncRNA from 1 species